UACGAAGGGUGCAAGCGUUACUCGGAAUUACUGGGCGUAAAGCGUGCGUAGGUGGUUCGUUAAGUCUGAUGUGAAAGCCCUGGGCUCAACCUGGGAAUGGCAUUGGAAACUGGCGACCUAGAGUGCGGUAGAGGGUAGUGGAAUUCCCGGUGUAGCAGUGAAAUGCGUAGAGAUCUGGAGGAACACCGGUGGCGAAGGCGGCAUCCUGGACCGGCAUUGACGCUGAGGCGCGAAAGCUAGGGGAGCAAACGGG
rnacentral:rRNA from 1 species